AUCCAGACUCCUACGGGAGGCAGCAGUGAGGAAUAUUGGUCAAUGGGCGCGAGCCUGAACCAGCCAAGUAGCGUGGAGGAUGACUGCCCUACGGGUUGUAAACUUCUUGUAUAAAGGAAUAAAGUGAGGCACGUGUGCCUUUUUGUAUGUACUUUAUGAAUAAGGAUCGGCUAACUCCGUGCCAGCAGCCGCGGUAAUACGGAGGGUGCGAGCGUUAUCCGGAUUUAUUGGGUUUAAAGGGGGCGUAGGCGGGACGGUAAGUCAGCGGUAAAAAUGGGGAGCUCAACUCCGUCGAGCCGUUGAAACUGCCGUUCUUGAGUGAGCGAGAAGUAUGCGGAAUGCGUGGUGUAGCGGUGAAAUGCAUAGAUAUCACGCAGAACUCCGAUUGCGAAGGCAGCAUACCGGCGCCCGACUGACGCUGAGGCACGAAAGCGUGGGGAUCGAACAGGAUUAGAUACCCCUGUA
rnacentral:rRNA from 1 species